GACGUAGGGGACGAGCGUUGUCCGGAUUUAUUGGGCGUAAAGCGCGCGCAGGCGGCCACGUAAGUCGGAUGUGAAAUCCCGGGGCUCAACCCCGGAACUGCAUUCGAGACUGCAUUGCUAGAGUAUGGGAGAGGGAAGUGGAAUUUCCGGUGUAGCGGUGAAAUGCGUAGAUAUCGGAAGGAACAUCAGUGGCGAAAGCGACUUCCUGGACCAAUACUGACGCUCAUGUGCGAAAGCGUGGGGAGCAAACAGG
rnacentral:rRNA from 1 species